UGAAAACAAACAUUUCUGCAAGGUUUGCCUUCUUAGAAAAGAUUAAGUCCAGUCCCUCUUGUCUUGUACUCUGUCACUGGCAGGUUCUUGUCCUGUUUGAAACACCAAAGAAGGCAGAAUUUUCAGUGCUGGUGGUUUGUGGAAAAAAAGAAAAAAAGCUACGGAGGACGUUUUACGUUGGGCAGAGAUUUCAGGCUGCAGCAAGAUCCAGCCUGUGCACUUGUGAAAGGCUGUGCUCUCCUCUGGGGCUGGAGGAAGACAAAGGCACCAUUCAAGGAUGAGCUCCAACCCAGAACCCAUUCUGAACAGGAACCUGACCAUCUUGUCUUGGAGGACAAUGAUGGCUGUCUGAACAAGUUAGCCCUGUGGGGACAGGUUUCAAGUGGCAGCUGUGUGGGAUACAGGCAGUGUGUGGAAUACAGGGCCUGAGGGAUGCUCAGCACCCAGCAUUACAGGAUUCUUGACUUUGGUGAGUCUGCCUGGGUGAAUGAGGCUUACCUGUGGGAGUUGUAAAGUAUGUUGCUGAGUUUAUUUUUGGUGUUUCUUUUAAAAAUCUUCUGUGCCUGUUGCCAAACAUAAGACGUUUGUUUUCAGACUCUAACUUCUCAGGUAAAGCUGUCAUGUUUAUUCUGACUCACUACAUCAACACAUAAACAUGAGAUUUUUGUUUACACUUAUUGCUCUUUGUGUAUCUUUAUAUAGCCUGG
rnacentral:lncRNA from 1 species